rnacentral:rRNA from 1 species
UACGUAGGGGGCUAGCGUUGUCCGGAAUCAUUGGGCGUAAAGAGCGCGUAGGCGGCCAGACAAGUCCGGUGUGAAAGUCACAGGCUCAACCUGUGAAUGCCGCUGGAAACUGUCUGGCUAGAGUCCGGAAGGGGCGAGUGGAAUUCCUGGUGUAGCGGUGAAAUGCGCAGAUAUCAGGAGGAACACCUAUGGCGAAGGCAGCUCGCUGGGACGGUACUGACGCUGAGGCGCGAAAGCUAGGGGAGCAAACGGG